rnacentral:rRNA from 1 species
GUGAGGAAUAUUGGACAAUGGGCGCAAGCCUGAUCCAGCCAUGCCGCGUGCAGGAAGACGCAUCUAUGGUGUGUAAACUGCUUUUGUACGGGAAGAAACACUCCCUCGUGAGGGAGCUUGACGGUACCGUAAGAAUAAGGAUCGGCUAACUCCGUGCCAGCAGCCGCGGUAAUACGGAGGAUCCAAGCGUUAUCCGGAAUCAUUGGGUUUAAAGGGUCCGUAGGCGGUUUAAUAAGUCAGUGGUGAAAGCCCAUCGCUCAACGAUGGAACUGCCAUUGAUACUGUUAGACUUGAAUUACAAGGAAGUAACUAGAAUAUGUAGUGUAGCGGUGAAAUGCUUAGAUAUUACAUGGAAUACCAAUUGCGAAGGCAGGUUACUACUUGUGGAUUGACGCUGAUGGACGAAAGCGUGGGGAGCGAACAGGAUUAGAAACCCCUGUAGUCC